GAGGCAGCUCCGGCCGGGGCCUCCCGCUCCCCCCUCAGCCCGCCGGGGCCCGAUCUGGCCCGAGCCCGAGAGAGCCGCCAGGUUCUCCCGGGAUGGGAUCGAUUCGGUGGGGGCUCCCCUCAGCGCGGGGGGGAGGCGGCGCGCACCUGCCCAGGGCGCCGGGGCGGGCCCAGGCAGACCCCGCCCUCCGGGACUCCGCACCGGGAAGCCUCGGCUGGGGCCGCGCUGCGCCGCCACAGGCAGGACUAAAUGGCCAGCAGAUGGACUGUUUGAAGCACUUGGUUUGAUCACCUAAGAGGAGGGACUCUGCUGAGGAUACCCUACAGGGAAUCUGUUGGGGAUCGCUGUCAUCUCAGACUCUUCCCUGAUAUGGAACAAAGUGAAGGUGAACAGGAAUUGCAGCCGGAGAGUCACGUGGAUAGCAAGAGCAGCGUGAAAUCCUUGCCUGGGGGAGAGGCCCAUGUCAAGCUAGAGAUAAAAAAACAUGCAGUUACAGAUGACUACAAACUCUCCAAACGGGUACUAGGGUUAGGAAUCAAUGGCAAGGUACUCGAGUGUUUCAACAAGGAGACAGGCCAGAAAUGUGCUUUGAAGCCCUGGAGAUAUUUGCAAGGAUGAGAAUAUUCAGAGGAAUUUUUUCUGCUGUUUCUUGUGAAACCUGAACUGUACCGCACAAAUCCCAGACCUGCUCCAGAUGAGAUUUCAGAGCAAACCAUCCAGUCAGACCUGCUCCAGAUGAGAUUUGAGAGCAAACCAUCCAGCCAAAACAGUUACGGAAGAGGGAUAAGAAAUUUAGGAAAGGAAUGUUGAGAAACAGCCUCAGUGCAGAAUUCUCUGCGUAGGGGACAGUAGAGCCUUGGUGUUUCUGCCUUGCCACUGCUUGUACUUCCUAGGUGUGAUGGCAGGGUUGUUGUUCACUUACAGGAGUAGAAAGUAGAGGCUGAUGAAGCUGUCGCAGGAAGAAAACAGCUGGCAUGACGGGAGAAGAACAGGAAGGACAAUUUGGGCAUAGCAGCAAAACAAAGACCCUUGGAACUUCAGGAAAACAAAGUACACUGGUUAUGAGUGCAUUGGUACUUUUGGUAUGAAAACUCUCCUGAAUAACAGUGUAGCAGUUGUAAAGUACUUCUCCCCUAAGCUCUGUGUAAAGUACUUCUCCCCUAAGCUCUGUGCCUAUACUGCAGCUGCCUUCCAGGCAUCUGAGACUUCUAGGUUAAGGUGGAAUAUGUAUGAAUGGGCCUGCUAGUUUGUAGAAUCACGGAAUCAUUUAGAUUGGAAAAGAGUUUUAGGACCAUGGAGUCCAACCAUUAGCCCAGCACUGCCAAGGCCACCACAAACCGAUGUCUUAAAGUGCAACAGCUACGCAUAGGCUUUAUCUU